UAAGGAAUAUUGGUCAAUGGACGCAAGUCUGAACCAGCCAUGCCGCGUGGAGGAUGAAGGCCCUCUGGGUUGUAAACUUCUUUUAUAUGGGACGAAACCCUCUCAUUCUUGAGAGACUGACGGUACCAUAGGAAUAAGCACCGGCUAACUCCGUGCCAGCAGCCGCGGUAAUACGGAGGGUGCAAGCGUUAUCCGGAUUCACUGGGUUUAAAGGGUGCGUAGGAGGGCAGGUAAGUCAGUGGUGAAAUCCCCGAGCUUAACUUGGGAACUGCCGUUGAUACUAUCUGUCUUGAAUAUUGUGGAGGUGAGCGGAAUAUGUCAUGUAGCGGUGAAAUGCUUAGAUAUGACAUAGAACACCAAUUGCGAAGGCAGCUCGCUACACAAAUAUUGACUCUGAGGCACGAAAGCGUGGGGAUCAAACAGGAUUAGAUACCCUGGUAGUCCACGCCCUAAAAGCGAUGGAUACUCGACAUACGCGAUACACAGUGUGUGUCUGAGCGAAAGCAUUAAGUAUCCCACCUGGGAAGUACGACCGCAAGGUUGAAACUCAAAGGAAUUGACGGGGUCAUAGCUGUUUCCUG
rnacentral:rRNA from 1 species